CAAUGUCAGCUUUCUGUUUUCUUUUCUCUGGUGGAGCCAGAGGCUGUCGGCAAAGGCUGGGCUGGGCGUGGCAUGACUGAGGUCAGUCUCUUUCAGAAAGUCCCAGCGAAUGCCUGUCUGGGUCCCCAGAUCACGAGCAUUUGGUCUCAUGAGGCAUAUUUGGGGCAAGAGGACUCAUUCUGCCCAGACAGCCCCAGGCCUGGGGGUGCUGGGGUUCCUAAUGGUGUGAGGGCCAGUGUCAAAGGGUGAGUGACCCCAGUGUCCUUCCAGGUGUGCAAGUGCCUGCAUACGGGAGCCGGGUGAGCAGUUAGGAGGAGACGCAGCCUGGUUCAGUUUAACGUUGAAAGUCCGUUCAGUCCCCACUCAGAGCUGGCUCGUGUGUUUAUCUCUGUGUUAACACAGGAAUGUUGCCAACCCUCGGGUGGCACAGUGACCUGCUUGUGCACAGCUGGCGUGUGGGUGGGCACGAAGUGCACCUGAGCCAGAGCAGACGAGCCUCACACGCCUGCUGCUUGAGGUUUGGAGGACCCCAGGAUGAGAG
rnacentral:lncRNA from 1 species